rnacentral:rRNA from 1 species
CCUACGGGAGGCAGCAGUGAGGGAUAUUGGUCAAUGUGGGAAACCCUGAACCAGCAACGCCGCGUGAGGGAAGACGGUUUUCGGAUUGUAAACCUCUGUCCUCUGUGAAGAUAAUGACGGUACUUGAUGAAUAAGCCACGGCUAACUACGUGCCAGCAGCCGCGGUAAUACGUAGGUUGCAAGCGUUAUCCGGAUUUACUGGGUGUAAAGGGCGUGUAGGCGGGACUCAAAGUAAGAUGUGAAAACCAUGGGCUCAACCCAUGGCCUGCAUUUGAAACUGUAGUUCUUGAGUGUUGGAGAGGCAGGCGGAAUGCCGUGUGUAGCGGUGAAAUGCGUAGAUAUACGGAGGAACACCAGUGGCGAAGGCGGCCUGCUGGACAAUAACUGACGCUGAGGCGCGAAAGCGUGGGGAGCAAACAGGAUUAGAUACCCGUGUAGUC